UACAGAGGGUGCGAGCGUUAAUCGGAAUUACUGGGCGUAAAGCGUGCGUAGGUGGUUUUGUAAGUCAGAUGUGAAAUCCCCGGGCUUAACCUGGGAAUUGCGUUUGAAACUACAAGACUAGAGUACGGCAGAGGGGGGUGGAAUUCCACGUGUAGCAGUGAAAUGCGUAGAGAUGUGGAGGAACACCAAUGGCGAAGGCAGCCCCCUGGGUCGAUACUGACGCUCAUGCACGAAAGCGUGGGUAGCAAACAGGAUUAGAUACCCCAGUAGU
rnacentral:rRNA from 1 species